AAAGUCGUAACAAGGUCUCCGUUGGUGAACCAGCGGAGGGAUCAUUACCGAGAUCAUUCUCAAAACCCUGUGAAUUAUACCUAUUUCGUUGCCUCGGCAGGCGGUCCCGGGGGGACCCUCCGGCCUCUUUGGGUGCCUGCCGGCAGCGCUAAAACUUCUGACUUUUUACGCGGAUACCUUCUGAGUGGCAAGCUUUUAAAGCAAGUAAAAACCUUCAACAACGGAUCUCUUGGUUCUG
rnacentral:misc_RNA from 1 species